rnacentral:ncRNA from 12 species
GGGUCCAGCCCAUUCCGGGGCUGGAGGUAAAGAAUAUGGUCGGGCCGCCAUAU